rnacentral:rRNA from 1 species
AUUGAACGCUGGCGGCAGGCCUAACACAUGCAAGUCGAGCGGAUGAAGGGAGCUUGCUCCUGGAUUCAGCGGCGGACGGGUGAGUAAUGCCUAGGAAUCUGCCUGGUAGUGGGGGAUAACGUCCGGAAACGGGCGCUAAUACUGCAUACGUCCUGAGGGAGAAAGUGGGGGAUCUUCGGACCUCACGCUAUCAGAUGAGCCUAGGUCGGAUUAGCUAGUUGGUGGGGUAAAGGCCUACCAAGGCGACGAUCCGUAACUGGUCUGAGAGGAUGAUCAGUCACACUGGAACUGAGACACGGUCCAGACUCCUACGGGAGGCAGCAGUGGGGAAUAUUGGACAAAGGGCGAAAGCCUGAUCCAGCCAUGCCGCGUGUGUGAAGAAGGUCUUCGGAUUGUAAAGCACUUUAAGUUGGGAGGAAGGGCAGUAAGUUAAUACCUUGCUGUUUUGACGUUACCAACAGAAUAAGCACCGGCUAACUUCGUG